rnacentral:rRNA from 1 species
UGGUACCGUCAUCACCACUCGUAUUAGAAGUGGCGAUUUCUUUCCACCUGAAAGCGGUUUACAACCCGAAGGCCUUCUUCCCGCACGCGGCAUGGCUGGAUCAGGCUUUCGCCCAUUGUCCAAAAUUCCCCACUGCUGCCUCCCGUAGGA